rnacentral:tRNA from 1 species
GUUGGCCGCGUCGCGGUAGCCGCUCGCGAUCAGGUCGCGGACCGGGGCGUGGUCCAGGGUGGCGUUGAAGUCGCCGGCCAGCACC